rnacentral:rRNA from 1 species
AUUGAACGCUGGCGGCAGGCCUAACACAUGCAAGUCGAACGAGUGGCGGACGGGUGAGUAAUGUCUGGGAAACUGCCAGAUGGAGGGGGAUAACUACUGGAAACGGUAGCUAAUACCGCAUACAAUCGGAUGUGCCCAGAUGGGAUUAGAUAGUAGGGGGGGUAAAGGCUCACCUAGGCGACGAUCCUUAUCUGGUCUGAGAGGAUGACCAGCCACCGUGUAACUGAGACACGGUCCAGACUCCUACGUGAGGCAGCAGUGGGGAAUUUUGCACUAUGGGCUCAAGUCUGAUGCAGCCAUGCCGCGUGUAUGAAGAGGUCCUUCGGGUUGUAAAGUACAUUCGGCGGGGAGGCGUUUCUCGCAGAAGAAGCACCGGCUGACUCCGUGCCAGCCGCCGCGGUAAUAC